AGAUAGGAGAGUCAGAAGGUAGGUGAGGUGGAAGGAAGAGGAGGGUGAAAGAGAAAGGAGAAAACAAGCUGAAGCAGGGGGUGGGGGAGGAAUCAGUUCUAGAAUCUUCCCUUUUGAGGUGGACAGGGCUCAGGAGUCAUUCAUUCCAACCCUGUCCUUUGACAGAAAGUGAAGUUGGAGGCCUGGAAAGUUCAGUGAUCAACAGGGUGUGAGAAGAAUGAUGCCACUCAGGAGGUGACCCAAAGGGAGGAGGCAGCCUGGAGAAUCCUGCAGGAUCAGCAAACAGAGCCAGAAGGACUCCACCUGCAUCUUCCCUGGUCACACAGCCAUGGGGUGGCAGAGCCAUCAUUUGAACAGAGGUUCCAUGAUUCCUGAAUGCAACAGAAUGUGGCCCAGGAUGACAUCAUGGUUGCCAAGGCUGUGACAAGAAUGAAGUUGCCAGCAUCUCCCAGAAGUAGUGACCAUAAUGGAGGUGGUGACCUUGAAGAUCUCUCUGGUUAACAAGAUGGGCGACUUACCAAGGAGAUCCCAAGAUCCUGAGGGAAGCCAGAUGGGAACAUGGGAUGGAUCAUUACAAAAAGUCCACUGGAACUGGAAUGGUGGAAAGAAGAUUGCUUAGAUCUGGCAGAGAUCUUCCAAAAUGCAUAAAAUAAUGUAGAAUUAGAUUCAUAGAUAAAUAGAAAAGUAAACAGUUAAAAAGUUGAGUUAAAUAGAUAAAUAGAUUAAAGGUGAAGUAAAAGCUACAUAAAUAAAUAGAUAAAUAAAUAAUAGACAAAUUAAUAGUUGAAUAAAUCAAUAAACCAGUAUAUAAAGCGAUAAAUAGGUAAAAUAUUUAAAUAGGUAAAAUAAUCAAAUAGAAAAGUUAAAUAUUUUGUUAAAUAUAUAAAUACACUAUUAGAUAAAAUUUUGUUACUUAACUCCCUUCCUAGCCAAGGAUGACAUGACUGCUUCAAAGAUCAAUGGAAGAAUUGGACCAGUUGUGACAACUAAGAGGUAAUGAAGAUCUUAGAUGGCACUGGAACCCAUGUCUUCUGUCUACCAAGGCUUGGCUCUUUCCAAAAAGGAAGGUCACUUCCAAAAAGAAGGCCACUAUAGAAGAGAACAGAAGGAAUCAGUGCUCCAGAGGAAAGGAGAGGUGAACAUGGCUUGGAGAAGACUAAAAACCAGGGUGGUGGCCUAGAGAAUCUGGCCCAGGUUCCUGAAGGAAGCCAAGUAGUAGGAUGGAUCAGAGAAAAAGUCCACUGCAGAAACAACUCCAAAGGCA